GACGAACGCUGGCGGCGUGCUUAACACAUGCAAGUCGAACGAAGUGGCGAACGGUUGAGUAACGCGUAAUCAACCUGCCCUUCAGAGGUUGACAACAGUUGGAAACGACUGCUAAUACCUCAUACUGAAGGAGGGGAUUGCGUCGGAUUAGCUAGUUGGAGGGGUAACGGCCCACCAAGGCGAUGAUCAGUAGCCGGUCAUAGAGGAUGAACGGCCAGAUUGGGACUGGGACACGGCCCAGACUCCUACGGGAGGCAGCAGUGGGGAAUCUGCCGCAAUGGACGAAAGUCUGACGGAGCAACGCCGCGGGAGUGAUGACGGCCUUCGGGUUGUAAAGCUCUGUUAAUCGGGACGCGGUACCGGAAUAGAAAGCCACGGCUAACUACGUGCCAGCAGCCGCGGUAAUUG
rnacentral:rRNA from 1 species